rnacentral:rRNA from 1 species
CCUACGGGUGGCAGCAGUGGGGAAUAUUGGGCAAUGGGCGCAAGCCUGACCCAGCAACGCCGCGUGAAGGAAGAAGGCUUUCGGGUUGUAAACUUCUUUUAAGAGGGAAGAGCAGAAGACGAUACCUCUUGAAUAAGCCACGGCUAACUACGUACCAGCAGCCGCGGUAAUACGUAGGUGGCAAGCGGUGUCCGGAUUUACUGGGUGUAAAGGGCGUGCAGCCGGGAAGACAAGUCAGGUGUGAAAUCCAGCGGCGCAACCGCGGAACUGCAUGUGAAACUGUUUUGCUGGAGGACCGGAGAGGUCAUCGGAAUUCCUGGUGUAGCGGUGAAAGGCGUAGAUAUAAGGAAGAACACCAGUGGCGAAGGCGGAUGACUGGACGGCAACUGACGGUGAGGCGCGAAAGUGUGGGGAGCAAACAGGAGUAGAUACCCCUGUAGUC